GACGAACGCUGGCGGCGUGCUUAACACAUGCAAGUCGAACGGAAAGGCCCUGCUUUUGUGGGGUGCUCGAGUGGCGAACGGGUGAGUAACACGUGAGUAACCUGCCCUUGACUGUGGGAUAACUUCAGGAAACUGGGGCUAAUACCGGAUAGGAGCUCCUGCUGCAUGGUGGGGGUUGGAAAGUUUGGGCGGUUGGGGAUGGACGCGCGGCUUAUCAGCUUGUGGGUGGGGUAGUGGCUUACCAAGGCUUGGACGGGUAGCCGGCCUGGGAGGGUGACCGGCAACAUUGGGCCUGAGAUACGGCCCAGCUUCCUCCGGGAGGCAGCAGUGGGGAAUAUUGCACAAUGGGCGGAAGCCUGAUGCAGCAACGCCGCGUGCGGGUUGACGGCCUUCGGGUUGUAACCCGUUUUCGCCUGUGACGAAGCGUGAGUGACGGUAAUGGGUAAAGAAGCACCGGCUAACUACGUG
rnacentral:rRNA from 1 species